rnacentral:rRNA from 1 species
GUAGGUGGCAAGCGUUGUCCGGAAUUAUUGGGCGUAAAGCGCGCGCAGGCGGUUCUUUAAGUCUGAUGUGAAAGCCCACGGCUCAACCGUGGAGGGUCAUUGGAAACUGGAGAACUUGAGUACAGAAGAGGAAAGCGGAAUUCCACGUGUAGCGGUGAAAUGCGUAGAGAUGUGGAGGAACACCAGUGGCGAAGGCGGCUUUCUGGUCUGUAACUGACGCUGAGGCGCGAAAGCGUGGGGGAGCAAACAGGAUUAGAUACCCUGGUAGUCCACGCCGUAAACGAUGAGUGCUAAGUGUUAGGGGGUUUCCGCCCCUUAGUGCUGCAGCUAACGCAUAAAGCACUCCGCCUGGGAGUACGGCCGCAAGGCUG